rnacentral:rRNA from 1 species
AUGCAAGUCGAGCGAGAUUUUUCGUUGUAGCAAUACGAUGGAAAGUCUAGCGGCGAACGGGUGCUUAACACGUGGGCAACCUGCCAUGAAGUGGGGGAUAGCUCGCCGAAAGGCGAAUUAAUACCGCAUGUGAUUAGAGAGGACAUCCUUUCGAAAUUUAAGUCGGGGCAACCUGACGCUUCUUGUGGGGCCCGCGGCCUAUCAGCUAGUUGGUGAGGUAAUGGCUCACCAAGGCUUUGACGGGUAGCUGGUCUGAGAGGACGACCAGCCACACUGGGACUGAGACACGGCCCAGACACCUACGGGUGGCAGCAGUCGAGAAUUUUUGACAAUGGGGGAAACCCUGAUCGAGCGACGCCGCGUGGAGGAUGAAGGUCUUCGGAUUGUAAACUCCUGUCAUUUGGGAACAAGGUGCACACGUUAACUGCGUGUGCAUUGAUAGUACCAGAAGAGGAAGAGACGGCUAACUCUGUGCCAGCAGCCGCGGUAAUACAGAGGUCUCAAGCGUUGUUCGGAUUCAUUGGGCGUAAAGGGUGCGUAGGCGGCGCGGUAAGUCGGGUGUGAAAUCUCGGAGCUUAACUCCGAAACUGCAUUCGAUACUGCCGUGCUUGAGGACUGGAGAGGAGACUG